GACGAACCGAGCGAACGUUGUUCGGAAUCACUGGGCUUAAAGGGCGCGUAGGCGGCCACGCACGUCCGUUGUGAAAUCGCCCGGCUCAACUGGGCGGGGUCAGCGGAUACGGUGUGGCUAGAGCAAGCUAGGGGGCAAUGGAAUUCCCGGUGUAGUGGUGGAAUGCGUAGAUAUCGGGAGGAACACCAGUGGCGAAGGCGGUUGCCUGGAGCUUUGCUGACGCUGAUGCGCGAAAGCGUGGGGAGCGAUCCGG
rnacentral:rRNA from 1 species